rnacentral:misc_RNA from 1 species
GAUGAAGAACGCAGCGAAAUGCGAUAAGUAGUGUGAAUUGCAGAAUUCAGUGAAUCAUCGAAUCUUUGAACGCACAUUGCGCCCUUUGGUAUUCCAAAGGGCAUGCCUGUUCGAGCGUCAUUUGUACCCUCAAGCUUUGCUUGGUGUUGGGCGUCUUGUCUCUAGCUUUGCUGGAGACUCGCCUUAAAGUAAUUGGCAGCCGGCCUACUGGUUUCGGAGCGCAGCACAAGUCGCACUCUCUAUCAGCAAAGGUCUAGCAUCCAUUAAGCCUUUUUUUCAACUUUUGACCUCGCAUCAGGUAGGGAUACCCGCUGAACUUAAGCAUAUCAAUAAGCGGAGGA